AUACGUAGGGGGCGAGCGUUGUCCGGAAUGAUUGGGCGUAAAGGGCGCGUAGGCGGCCCGGUAAGUCUGGAGUGAAAGUCCUGUUUUUAAGAUGGGAAUUGCUUUGGAUACUGUCGGGCUUGAGUGCAGGAGAGGUAAGUGGAAUUCCCAGUGUAGCGGUGAAAUGCGUAGAGAUUGGGAGGAACACCAGUGGCGAAGGCGACUUACUGGACUGUAACUGACGCUGAGGCGCGAAAGUGUGGGGAGCAAACAGGAUUAGAUACCCUGGUAGUCCACACUGUAAACGAUGAAUGCUAGGUGUAGGGGGUAUCGACCCCUUCUGUGUCGCAGUCAACACAAUAAGCAUUCCGCCUGGGGAGUACGGCCGCAAGGUUGAAACUCAAAUGAAUUGACGGGG
rnacentral:rRNA from 1 species